rnacentral:rRNA from 1 species
UACGAAGGGGGCUAGCGUUGCUCGGAAUUACUGGGCGUAAAGGGCGCGUAGGCGGAUAGUUAAGUUGGGGGUGAAAGCCCGGGGCUCAACCUCGGAAUUGCCUUCAAUACUGGCUAUCUUGAGUACGGGAGAGGUGUGUGGAACUCCGAGUGUAGAGGUGAAAAUUCGUAGAUAUUCGGAAGAACACCAGUGGCGAAGGCGACACACUGGCCCGUUACUGACGCUGAGG